UUUGGUUUGUCUUAUAACAUCAGUUAGUGUGUGUUAAAUGGAGUUAUCAGAUGUUUGGUUUGGCAUUUAUAGUUUUCGACAGGCCCAAGUUAAAGAGAGAGGCCCGCCUUAAAUGUUCAGAUAGUGCCAUUUAGCAUAUCUUCCAAAAUUGGUCUGAUACAUAUCUGACUUGUUCAUAUUGAUUGGAAAUUUCCCCAAUUAACCCCAAGCCUGCGAUUUUUCUUGCCCAACAAUUCAAUUUGACGACAUUUUCGCUCCUCUUCCUUCUUCGCGUCGGAGAAGACUGACCCAAGGAGAAAGCUCGCUAAUUCCGGCAAUGGCGGCAAUUUUCAGUUGACGAGAAAUUGCUGAAUUUCUUCCCCAUUGCUGAAUUGCUGAAUUUCGAGCUUACCUCCUUCGAGAAAACGUGGUGCUUGGCUUUGAGAAAGAGUUUCAACCGAUGAAUGGUGAAGAUGCAACCGCUUGUGUUAAAAAAUGGGUGAAACAUAAAAAUUUCAUGGGCAAAAAUGUCUUUUUCAUAUCUCACUUUUGCUAAAUGGGAAACCAAACAUCAAAUACCAAAUAUCAAGAAAUGAUAAAUGGUAAACCAAACAAGGAGAAUCAGUUUUUGUAACCUAAGAAAUGGUUUAGCAUUUCUUGCCCAACACCAUUUCUUAACAAAUGGUAUAUGAUGAACCAAAAA